GGAGAGGUGGUAGAGCGGUUGAAUGCACCGGUCUUGAAAACCGGCGUGGGCUCGCGCCCACCGAGGGUUCGAAUCCCUCCCUCUCCGCCA
rnacentral:tRNA from 1 species